rnacentral:rRNA from 1 species
CAAAUGAAUUGACGGGGGCCCGCACAAGCGGUGGAGCAUGUGGUUUAAUUCGAUGAUACGCGAGGAACCUUACCUGGGCUCAAAUGUAUGUUGACGUAUUCUGAAAGGGAUACUUCUUCGGACAAUAUACAAGGUGCUGCAUGGUUGUCGUCAGCUCGUGCCGUGAGGUGUCGGGUUAAGUCCCAUAACGAGCGCAACCCCUAUCAUUAGUUGCCAUCAGGUCAAGCUGGGGACUCUAAUGAAACUGCCUACGCAAGUAGUGAGGAAGGUGGGGAUGACGUCAAAUCAGCACGGCCCUUACGUCCAGGGCUACACACGUGCUACAAUGGCCGGUACAAAGGGCAGCUACCUGGUGACAGGAUGCUAAUCUCAAAAGCCGGUCUCAGUUCGGAUCGGAGUCUGCAACCCGACUCCGCGAAGCUGGAAUCGCUAGUAAUCGCGCAUCAGCCAUGGCGCGGUGAAUACGUUCCCGGGCCUU